UACAGAGGGUGCAAGCGUUGUUCGGAAUUAUUGGGCGUAAAGCGCGUGUAGGCGGCUUUGCAAGUCGGGUGUGAAAUCCCCAAGCUCAACUUGGGAACUGCAUUCGAGACUGCAUUGCUAGAGUAUGGGAGAGGGAAGUGGAAUUUCAGGUGUAGCGGUGAAAUGCGUAGAUAUCUGAAGGAACAUCAGUGGCGAAAGCGACUUCCUGGACCAAUACUGACGCUCAUGUGCGAAAGCGUGGGGAGCAAACAGG
rnacentral:rRNA from 1 species